rnacentral:lncRNA from 1 species
AAAAAAAAAUGAUCAGAAUAAUUCAACUAGAUCAUGAUCUAGAUCGGGUACAACCCGAAUGUACGGUAUACCCAGGUGCACAGUGGACCACCUCAAGUCCAAAUAGGCUCUUUGUUAAGCCCCAGUUCGAUUGUCCUUCUGACGCAAAUUUUAGCCCAUCUAUUUUUUGUCAUGUGAGAAAAUCGAAAGGACAUUAUCAAUGUAAAAUGUAUAUCAUAUUAUAUAAUGUUGAUAAAAAAACGCAUCACACAUUGCAUUGUACAUAAUACACAUAAUCAAAGAAAAAGGUUAUUAUGAAAUUAUCUCACUUUUUACAAGACAAUAUAAAAUUAUCACACUAUCCACUGAUAUAAAAUUAUACUUUGAUCAAGAGAAAGGUGUUAUCCAGAAUUUGUUAUUACGUUAAAAUAAACGAGUUACAAGAUUAAAAAUAUUAAAGCUUAUUCAUUUUCUUAUACCUCAAAACAAAUAAAUCGUGUAUAUAAGAAUGGAGAAGGAAAAAUUGUCCAGCUAUAUAUGUCUAUCAUUUAUGCAUGUCAAUCUUGUCAUGAUACUUUACACAAAGAAAAUGAGUAAUUAUUAAAUCGAUUCAUACUUUCACUUGAACUAAGUCGUAUAAAAAAUUUGAUCUCUUACAUAAAAAGAUAAAAUUGUAGUGUUAUGAUGCGUGUGAACUAAUAUUUAGUGUAGUGUAAAAUAAUUAUUUAAAAAGAAAAUAAAUUAAAUUAAAUAAAACAAUCAAAAAAUGAAUACAUGCUAGAUUGAUUGAGACUGAAAGAACAUACGAAACACUCUAUUUUCAUAAAUUUAAUUUGUUUUACUUUUUUUUUAUGACAAGGGGAAUCUGCAUACGCGAUUCGAUGUAUGACAUAAUGCAUUGGAUAAACUAUAUGUAUUUUUCGUGCAAUAAUUUGCAAUUUGAACUUGAAGCUUUUUAUCACUAAUUAAUAUUCACUUUAUAUACUUGAAUUAAGAGCAAUAUUAUAAUUUUCUAUAUUAUUAUAUUCAUGAAAGAAUGGAUUAUUUCUUCGGAUAUGCAUAAUUUUCUAUUACUUAUCUCAACAACAUUAUACUCAUCAUUACAAAAUAUAAACUACACAAAAUUUCAUCAUUACAAAAUACUCCAUCCGUCUUAUGAAUCUUGACACGUUUGAUUUCGGAACGGGAAUUAAGGAGUUAUAGAUUAGUAUUUUAAGUGUGUAGUUAAUAAAGUAUAAAAGUGAUAAAGUAAGAGACAGAAGGUAAUGAAAGUGAUAAAUUGGAAAAGAGAAUGUAAUCAAAGUAAUAAAAUAGGAGAGAAAAUAUAAUAAUUUUUUUUUUUUUGGAAAUGUGUCAAGAUUCGUGAGACGGUCCAAAAAAAAACGUGUCAAGAUUUGUGGGACGGAGAGAGUAUAAACUAUACAUGUAUUAAUAAUUUAAUUUUAUCAAAACACGUAAUUACAAUUUGAAUAACAAAACUAGCAAUGUACUUAGUAAUAAUUUAUUAGAAUGAGGAAAAUCUCUUAAAAUCGUACCACAAGAUUAGGCUGUCUAAAAGAGCUUCGUGUGGUCAAAUACUUUAAUUAUACCCGUGGACCGUAGUCAACUCAACUAUCCGACGCCGUAUUGUCUCCCAACCACCGCGGAUGAUGACGUGUCAGCCUCUCAUCCCUCAGAUGAAACUGGGCUGAUCUAGGACCGUUGGAUCGCAUCCGCACGCUUGAUUGCUUUUGGGAUUUACCCAAUAAUGACAGUAGAUACAGGCAUGGUAAAAAAAUGGGAAAAGAAGCAACACGCUGUGAAAAAGGCGUAAAUUAGCUGUCAAAAUUAAGGUUAGAAGAGACAGAAAAAGUACAAACUGUCUUCAUCUCCUAAAUCUUUUGUCUGAUCCAUAAUUAUUAGUAAUUUGAUUUCUUGUUUUGUUUUGUUAUGUUUAUAUACAUAUACAUAUAUUCUCCAGUGUUUGGUCGUGCGAUAUGCAAGUAAAAUGUAAGGGUAAAACAAAAUUUACUUAUACGGCAAUGAAUCAUAUCAAUAGUAAAAAGCCAGAAAAGCGCCUUCUAGAGAAGACUCGGAAAACAACAAACGGUCCUUUGAAAAAGGAAUAAAAUCAAGAAUGCUAUUCCUUCCAAUGCACCAAAUUACUUGAUGGACUACUAUUAAUUAGAUUGAAAUUUUGGCCAAUUUUUGAAUAUUGGGAUUUAGAGAAAGGACUUUCGGAAUAAUUAUUUGGUGUUUAAAGCUACUUUGCGCUUUGGAAAUGGCGUAUGUUUUUGUUUUUUAAUUUGUGUAGUGUUGGGAUAAAUUAUGAUGAUUACAAUAUCAUUCUUUUUAUAUACAAAAUAUGUGAUUUUUUUGUUUGAAUACUCCAUAUUAUGUCAUGUAUAUUACACCAAUGAAUUAUCGGAAGAACAAUUAAACUAUUAUAAAUCACAUUAUAAAUUCUAUCCAAAUACAAUUCACAUAUUACUGGUGGGACCUGAACCUAUUAUUUUUUAAAGAUAGAGCAUUUGAUCCUUCAAUUUUGCCUUUAAAAUUAGAUUUUAUCGAUAAAUAUGAAAUAGUGACACUCAAAAUAUCGAAUACUUUUAUAGAAUAUCGAAUAAUUUAAUGAAGUGAGAUAUAGAAAUCAUAUCCAAGGUCGUGGAAUCGGAAUAGUAACAACUAACAACACAAAUCAAUACCUGCAUAUGUAUCAUCAUAACAAUACCAAGAAAGGGAAAUGAAUUAUAUUACUUGAACAUUAAUAUUAUCAUGUUUUUCGUAUGUUGUUGUUCUUGAUUUUUCAUUUAGUUCAAUUGAGGCAUCAAACCUUGUUGAUAAUAGUACUACUAUAUUAUUAUCAAAUAACUACUCAUUAUUAGUCCAAUUAUAUUAUUAUUAUAAUAAUUAUUAUUAUUAUUUGAGGGAAUUACUCGACCUAAUUUAAACACGAUGCGAAGGUUAAUUAAAGCCUCAAUCGAGUCAAAUAAAAUCCAAGAACCAAAUUAUUACACAACGUAAAUAAAAACAAAAAAGACAAAAACAAAAUUCAAGUAUUUGUUAAUGCAUAUAAAGGUGCAUGGAACGAAAUGGUAAGGAUGGGGAGGUUACUACCUUCUUUGUCAACAAUCUCCCGGAAGGUUGCAGUUCGGAUUUCUUGAGACGAAAGUUUAGCACGAUUUUGGAACCACUAGAAGUUUUUCUCCCGAGAAAGAGGGAUCUGCAUGGGAAAACCUUUGGUUUUGUCAGGUUCAGAGAGGUGUAUGAUCCUGAUAGACUGCUGGAGGAUCUAAAUAAGAUUUGGAUUGGAAGCUAUAAAAUAAGGGUUUCCAAACCCAGGUUUGAGAGAGAAACAGAGGCUGAAAAGCGUACUUCAUUGAAACCAAGAGUCCAGAAGGAAAAGAAUCUUGCCAACGGCUGUACAAAGGAGGGAACGGUGACGAAGGUUGGGGUAUCCUUCAAAGAAGCUUUAAUGGGGAACGAGGGGAACGAAACACGCGCGGAGGAGGUUUUUCAUUUUAAUCCAACGGACGAGGAGAAAGCUUGGCUCGAAGGGACGGUUAUCGGGGUUCUGAAAGACGAGUUCCGGUGGGAAGAGGUCAAGGACGAGAUCAAUGGGGAAUGUUCGGGGAAACUGAAAGCUUCGUUUGUUGGAGGAAGUUUGGUUCUCUUGCAAAGCGUCAGUGGGGAUUCAUCUGAUGACUUUCUUAAGGAAUUGAAUGAAUGGUUCCAUUUCUGGUUCCAGGGGAGUAGAAAAUGGAAGCCCGAAGGCGCAACUCUUCAAAGAGUGGUCUGGACAAAAUGGAUGGGAGUGCCUUUACAUGCUUGGAGCCAUCGUUUCUUCACCGCUGCAAGUGAGUGCUUCGGUUCUCUUCUUAAGAUUUAUGAAGGUACCAAGACCAGAGAAAAGCUUGAUGAAGCUUUCAUCCAAGUUUCCACGAGUAUCUUCUCGAUUGAUAGAAUUUUGGAGUGCGUAAUUGAAGGGGUUAGCUUCAAAAUUCGAAUCGAGGAGAUUCGGGAUUCUUUCAAUCCUACAACGGAAACUCAGACGGAGGAGGAAGGAACGGAUUCGGAUUCCGGUUGGUCUUGGGAAAUUGACUCGACGGGGCCGGCUGAAGCAACUUUCGAGGACGAGAAAAAGCAAAACAACAACGACGGGGAAGAUUCAGUAUCCCAAGGAUUAUUCCCCUCGAUUUCAGUUUUGCGCGUGGAAGGUGGAACCGAGGUCGAGGCCCCGACAAAGAAUGUUGGGGAGGUCGUGCUGAAAGGAGUGAGUGGAGUAAUCGAUACAGGGGGCAUUAAGGGGGAUGGGGAGAGAAAUAAAAGUAGUGGGAUGAGAGAGAAAAGGUCCAAAUAUGGCCAAAAUGAGGCACUUUGCGUGGAUCAAAGGAAUUCUUCCUUUUCCUCUUUUUUCAACACUUUUGACAAAGAGGGCCCAGAGGCCAUUUCUCCUUUUGCCAAUCUAGGCCCACAAGUCCAAAGAUGUCUUUUGCAUGGUGAAUCCACGACUUUUCCAGAGAAAGACGACAGAAUAGGAAGAGAAGAAGAGAAUAUGGAGAGAGAGAUUUCUUUCAGCCAACACGAUAAUCAACAGUCCCCUGCGGUCGAUUUUGUUGCUGAGACAGGUGAAGAUUGUGAUGGCGUUUCAGACCAACCGAAUUUGGAGGCGGUUUCUUCGUCGACGAAAGAAGCGGUAGGGGGAGAAAAAUCCGGGAAAAAGACAGGAAAAAACAUCAAGAAACUGUCCAAGAAAACGAAGAAGGCGAAACAGAGAGAGGUAGAAAAGAGCAGGUGGGGUAAUUUCAUUUCAAAUUUGGAAUCAGAAAGCUCAGAAAUUUGGAAAUUCGGGAAAGCUUUAGGUAUGUCAAGCCAAAUUCCAGACCAGGAGAUGGCUAAACAAAUUCAAGCUCAGAUGAAAGGGGUCGUGAGAGAAGAAGCUGGGAGCAAAGCAAGUAAGUUUCUAUGAAUAUUCUGUCAUACAAUAUCAGGGGACUGGGGAGUUUGGCGAAGCAGAAAGAUGUUGGUGAUAUUAUUAAAUUGACAAAAGAUUAGAUUUUUGUUGUCUUCAAGAAACGAAGAUGGCUGAUUUCAAUUCCUCUCUAUGUAACUCUUGGUGGGGAACAGACAACUUUGACCUUGCG